UACGUAGGGUGCGAGCGUUAAUCGGAAUUACUGGGCGUAAAGCGUGCGCAGGCGGUCAUGUAAGACAGAUGUGAAAUCCCCGGGCUCAACCUGGGAACUGCAUUUGUGACUGCAUGGCUAGAGUACGGUAGAGGGGGAUGGAAUUCCGCGUGUAGCAGUGAAAUGCGUAGAUAUGCGGAGGAACACCGAUGGCGAAGGCAAUCCCCUGGACCUGUACUGACGCUCAUGCACGAAAGCGUGGGGAGCAAACAGGAUUAGAAACCCGAGUAGUCC
rnacentral:rRNA from 1 species